GUUUCGCCGAAGUCGGAGGUGUGUCAGUGGUGUUGCGCUGGCUUCCCGGGGGGUGCUGAGACCUUCGUAGGACUCUGCCGUAGGACUCGUGUGGCUGUGUCAUGUUCCGGAUGAGGGCUAAAAGGCUCUUCCUUUCCUGGUGCUUUGUCUAGAGAGAGCAGGCUUUUGGGGCCUUUUUUGUGUCUGAGCCUGCUGGCAUUUCUAGGGUGCCUGCAUCUCCAGCACCCAGUCUGAGAAAUAUGAAGCAAAAAGAAAACCCAGGGAAUUCACUGCCAUGUCUUUCAAUGGCUGGGGAAUGCAGCUUCAGGACUCCAAUAGCAUAUCACUGGCAUUGCUUUUUACAUGUAUUGAUUUGUAUUUCCAAUCAAUGAUUAGCACAUCUGAUGUCUGAUACCAUUCCCUCCAGAGGUCUUCUGUAACAACUGAUAUCGACAUGAUACUUUGACGACAAUGUUACUGGGGAGUUUAAGUUAAACAAUUGAAAUGCUAUCUUCAGACUAUCUAGAAACAGAGAAAAUGACAUUCACUUUUAAAUAAAUUUAUAAACACUAUCUUAAAAAUUACAGUUCUGCUGAGCUUCCAUUUCAGCAAUUGUGUAAUCACAUAAUGACAGGAGAAAGACUAAAGAAGAGCAAAUUGAAAAAUAGUUUAGGAGACAAAAUUAUUAUGUUUUCCUGGAUCAGUAGAAGAGACUUGUUUAAUAGCAAUAUCAAAAAUAAUAUACUUUUUGUAGAAAUUGAAUAAAAUGGAAGCAAUUUACUAACAAAACUCCUAUUUAUGUGAUGUAUAUUUAUGAAACAUUGUCCUGAGAACCGUAAUUCUAUAAUGUUUCCAUUUGAGCACUUGUAUACCAGUUAACUAAUAGGAAUAAAACUAAAAAGAGAAAACACUGAAAAUUA